rnacentral:rRNA from 1 species
AGCAAUGCUCUGACGGCGACCGGCGGAAGGGUGCGUAACACGUGAGCGACUUGCCCGUCACAGGGGGAUAACCGGCGGAAACGGCGACUAAUACCCCAUAUGCUGCGAUGCUGCAUGGCAUUGCAAUGAAAGAUUCAUCGGUGGCGGAUAGGCUCGCGGGACAUUAGCUAGACGGCGGGGCAACGGCCCACCGUGGCGACGAUGUCUAGGGGUUCUGAGAGGAAGACCCCCACACUGGGACUGAGACACGGCCCAGACUCC